CAGGAGCAUCUGGAGGUUUCAAUUUGAAGCAGCAGGAGUGAGUCAGAACAUUUUGUGCCACAGCAUUCAAGGGGGAACUGCACUUUUUCGGGGGAAUGAAUUUUGCUUAUCGUUCCCAAUCCUUAUGCAAGACCGGAAGAUAAAAGGCUUUGAUAUUAUUUUUGUACAGUCUAAUUUGGAAAAAUCGUCUCAUUCUUGGUGGCAAGCAAUGCAGCUAAUGGGAACUAUCCAUUCUCCCUCUAAAUCACUUUAAAAUGAAUCCAAAGAUAUACAGAACAAUACUUCAUUUACAUUCCGUAACCUGUGUAAUAACCAAGCUGUAGCAACAACAAUAAAUCAUCGCCUUGCGA